GUCAGAGGCUGCUGAGUGGUGGCAGGUGAAAUCCGCCAGGGCCGGAAGGCAGCAACGGUAGCUUGUCCAACAUUGCAGUAGUCCUCUGGCACU
rnacentral:SRP_RNA from 1 species